GUUGGAAAUGCCUGAGUUCUGAUUUUAUGUGUAAAGUAAAACCCCGGGUUUCAAUUCUAUGGGUAAGUGAAAUAGGCCUUUUCUGGAAACCUAUGGGUUAUCUAGUGUGUAAAUACAGUAUAAAUACUGGAGCUUAAGCUCAGGGUAGGGGGGAUCACUUCUGAGAAUUCUCAUCGGUGUGGAUCUCGUGUGGUGGAAUGGAACAAUAAAGCUGGACCCUUGCUUCUUCUCACUCACGGCUGGUGUAUUUUUUCUAUCUCCAACUGGUCUCAGAGGUAGAUAAGCGCUGAUUGACUCAGGAGCAGCAGGGAAUUUCAUUGACCAGACCACCAUACAGUAGCACAACAUCCCCGUUCGUCCACUAAUCACACCACGCCGGAUUCAAGCCAUCGAUGGGGGCCCCAUUGUACUGAACCACUCAAUUUCCGGACCAGCGCACUCCAUCAGGAGAGCAUGGUGUUCUACGUCAUGGUGUCCGCCAGACAUCCAGUGGUCCUAGGCCUCCCCUGGUUAGAACACCAUAACCCGAGUAUUUCCUGGACUCAAAAGGAGAUCACGCACUGGUCCCCCCCAUUGCAUCAACCAUUGUCUUCAGACACCCGUGAUCAUCCUAGCGACCACCUCCAUCGAGAGCCCAAACAAAACUACCACAGUCCACAUUCCCACUGAAUACCAGGACCUCAGCGAGGUGUUUAGCAAAGAAAAGACUAGUGGAUUACCACCUCAUCGGCCUUACGACUGUGCCAACGAUCUGCUUCUGGGAACUACGCCACCCCGAGGCAGGGUUUACCCACUAUCACAGACUGAGCAGAGCGCUAUGGAGGAGUACAUCCAAUACAGGCACUAUAAAAGGGUUACAUAAGACCCUGUACGUCCCCUGCCUCUGCAGGAUUCUUUUUUGUGGAGAAGAAGGGAGGAGGGCUACAACCAUGCAUAGACUACAGGGAUUUAAACCAAUGCUGUAUCAAGUAUCGCUACCCUCUUCCAUUAGUACCAGUCGCUCUAGAACAACUUUGUGCUGCUACCAUCUUCACAAAGCUGGACCUCCACAGUGCAUACAACCUGGUCCGGAUCAGAGAGGGAGAUGAGUGGAAGACGGGGUUUAGCACCACCUCCGGGCACUGUGUAUGGGCUUUCUAGCACUCCCUCUGUCUUCCAGUGUCUAAUCAACGACGUCUUAAGGGACAUGCUGGGACGUAACAUAAUCGCGUACAUCGACGAUAUAUUGAUAUAUUUCAGUUCCGAGGAGGAGCACGUUCACCAUGUCCGUAAAGUCCUGCAAAGAUUACUCCAGCACCAGCUUUACGUCAAAGCCGAAAAAUGUGAGUUCCAUGAAAACACCAUUUCAUCAGCCCUGAGGGGGUUACCAUGGACCAAGUAAAAGUAAAAGCAGUAGUAGACUGACCCAAGCCUGCAACCAUGAAGGAGUUACAGAGAUUCCUGGGUUUCGCCAAUUUCUACCAAAGGUUCCUCCAAAAUUUCAGCUCCAUAACAAACCCACUGACG
ensembl:lncRNA